GGUGAUCUAGCCAUGGGCAGGUUGAAGGUUGGGUAACACUAACUGGAGGACCGAACCGACUAAUGUUGAAAAAUUAGCGGAUGACUUGUGGCUGGGGGUGAAAGGCCAAUCAAACCGGGAGAUAGCUGGUUCUCCCCGAAAGCUAUUUAGGUAGCGCCUCGUGAAUUCAUCUCCGGGGGUAGAGCACUGUUUCGGCAAGGGGGUCAUCCCGACUUACCAACCCGAUGCAAACUGCGAAUACCGGAGAAUGUUAUCACGGGAGACACACGGCGGGUGCUAACGUCCGUCGUGAAGAGGGAAACAACCCAGACCGCCAGCUAAGGUCCCAAAGUCAUGGUUAAGUGGGAAACGAUGUGGGAAGGCCCAGACAGCCAGGAUGUUGGCUUAGAAGCAGCCAUCAUUUAAAGAAAGCGUAAUAGCUCACUGGUCGAGUCGGCCUGCGCGGAAGAUGUAACGGGGCUAAACCAUGCACCGAAGCUGCGGCAGCGACACUAUGUGUUGUUGGGUAGGGGAGCG
rnacentral:rRNA from 1 species